rnacentral:rRNA from 1 species
GCAGUCGACGCUUCUUUCCUCCGAGUGCUUGCACUCAAUUGGAAAGAGGAGUGGCGGACGGGUGAGUAACACGUGGGUAACCUACCCAUCAGAGGGGGAUAACACUUGGAAACAGGUGCUAAUACCGCAUAACAGUUUAUGCCGCAUGGCAUAAGAGUGAAAGGCGCUUUCGGGUGUCGCUGGUGGAUGGACCCGCGGUGCAUUAGCUAGUUGGUGAGGUAACGGCUCACCAAGGCCACGAUGCAUAGCCGACCUGAGAGGGUGAUCGGCCACAUUGGGACUGAGACACGGCCCAAACUCCUACGGGAGGCAGCAGUAGGGAAUCUUCGGCAAUGGACGAAAGUCUGACCGAGCAACGCCGCGUGAGUGAAGAAGGUUUUCGGAUCGUAAAACUCUGUUGUUAGAGAAGAACAAGGAUGAGAGUAACUGUUCAUCCCUUGACGGUAUCUAACCAGAAAGCCACGGCUAACUACGUGCCAGCAGCCGCGGUAAUACGUAGGUGGCAAGCGUUGUCCGGAUUUAUUGGGCGUAAAGCGAGCGCAGGCGGUUUCUUAAGUCUGAUGUGAAAGCCCCCGGCUCAACCGGGGAGGGUCAUUGGAAACUGGGAGACUUGAGUGCAGAAGAGGAGAGUGGAAUUCCAUGUGUAGCGGUGAAAUGCGUAGAUAUAUGGAGGAACACCAGUGGCGAAGCGGCUCUCUGGUCUGUACUGACGCUGAGCUCGAAGCGUGGGAG